UCCGGUUUGACACCGGCAGUCUCCUAUGAGUCCCCGACAUAACUCGCUGGCAACAUAGGACAGGGGUUGCGCUCGUUGCGGGACUUAACCCAACACCUCACGACACGAGCUGACGACAGCCAUGCACCACCUGUGCACAGGCCCCGAAGGGCUGCCGGGUUUCCCCGAACAUUCCGGUGCAUGUCAAGCCCAGGUAAGGUUCUUCGCGUUGCGUCGAAUUAAACCACAUGCUCCACCGCUUGUGCGGGCCCCCGUCAAUUCCUUUGAGUUUCAGCCUUGCGGCCGUACUCCCCAGGCGGGGCACUUACUGCGUUAGCGACGGCACUCAGAGGGUCGCUCCCCCAAGCACCUAGUGCCCAUCGUUUACGGCGUGGACUAC
rnacentral:misc_RNA from 1 species